rnacentral:misc_RNA from 1 species
UGAAUUUCUCUGUAGUAGACAGAUAAGG